rnacentral:lncRNA from 1 species
GCCUCUGCUCCGAUGAUGACGGAGAGAGCCAAAACUCUCCCUCCCCGAUCUCCUUUAUUAUAUAUAUAUAUGCUUAUAUGUAUUAAUAACAAAACAAAGAACAAAAGAAAGAAGAACUGUCGGAAAAAGAACAGAAUUGCAAAGAGAGAAAAAAAGAAAACCUUUGUUCUAUUGAUUUUUUUUAAUACAAUCUGUGUAUGAGAGUUUUUUUCAAUAUGCCUCGGUAUCCUCCUUUACAGAUUCUGAUUUAAUGGCUUAUGUAGCCGAAAAGAAAAAAUGAAAAAAAAGAGAAUAUGCCAAACCCCUCG